rnacentral:misc_RNA from 1 species
AAGUCGUAACAAGGUUUCCGUAGGUGAACCUGCGGAAGGAUCAUUAACUAUAUGAGGGGAGGGCUGGGCUUCGGCCUGCCCCUCUCUGACUAUUCUACCCGUGUCUUUUGCGUACUAUUUGUUUCCUCGGUGGGCUUGCCCGCCGAUAGGACACUAUAAAAACCUUUUGUAAUUGCAGUCAGCGUCAGUAAAAACUUAAUAGUUACAA